rnacentral:rRNA from 1 species
GCCGGCUAACUCUGUGCCAGCAGCCGCGGUAAUACAGAGGGUGCGAGCGUUAAUCGGAUUUACUGGGCGUAAAGCGUGCGUAGGCGGCUUUUUAAGUCGGAUGUGAAAUCCCCGAGCUUAACUUGGGAAUUGCAUUCGAUACUGGGAAGCUAGAGUAUGGGAGAGGAUGGUAGAAUUCCAGGUGUAGCGGUGAAAUGCGUAGAGAUCUGGAGGAAUACCGAUGGCGAAGGCAGCCAUCUGGCCUAAUACUGACGCUGAGGUACGAAAGCAUGGGGAGCAAACAGGAUUAGAUACCCUGGUAGUCCAUGCCGUAAACGAUGUCUACUAGCCGUUGGGGCCUUUGAGGCUUUAGUGGCGCAGCUAACGCGAUAAGUAGACCGCCUGGGGAGUACGGUCGCAAGACUAAAACUCAAAUGAAUUGACGGGGGCCCGCACAAGCGGUGGAGCAUGUGGUUUAAUUCGAUGCAACGCGAAGAAGCUUUACCUGGNCUUGACAUACUAGAAACUUUCCAGAGAUGGAUUGGUGCCUUCGGGGAUCUAGAUACCGGUGCUGCAUGGGUUGCCGUCAAACUCGUGUCGUGAGAAUGUGCGGUUAAGUCCGGCAAGAAGGCA